rnacentral:tRNA from 1 species
GGAGGCAUAGUCUAAUGGUAGGACAUCGCCUUUACACGGCGAGGGCCUGGGUUCGAUUCCCUGUGCCUCCA